UCAGCAUCCCAAAGUGCUGGGAUUACAGGCAUGAGCCACUUCGCCUGGCAUCGUUUAUAAUUUUUAAAAGGUCUGUAGAAUAAUAACAGUAACACCUAAUUCCAUCUGCUGAAUGCCUAGCACACUAGGUUCUGUGCGCAUAGGUAUAGUACAUGUCUCCUCUCAUCCACAGAACUAUGUGCUCAACCACCCUGAGCCUCUUAAACCAUUUCCAAGAUAUUCCUGUUUUUAAUUUCUUCGUGUCUAGUGUCAAGGUGUAAUCUUUGAUCUAAAUAGCUUGCUUUUCCUUCUCUCUGUUAACCUCUUCAUCCUCCAUGACUUAGCUUAUAUUACCAGAGUCUGCAUGGUGGCUGUAUUCUCAGUAAGAUCAUUGGGAAAAUAGUCUGAUACUAAUGAAAUAUUUGAAUGAAGAAAAAACAUCAUGUUCUAUCCCAACAUAACUUCUUUUAGUUCCAUACCCUCCAGCUCUUUUCCUCAUGCAUGUGUAUUCUUAUAAAACCACUUGUACUAUUUUGUAUUCUGCUUUUCUCUUACACAGCAUAUUUUUUCAUAUUUCCAUAUAAUUUUCAUAAUUAUCAUUUUCAUCAUAAAAGCAAUGUUAACCCAUUACAGAAAAUAAAUCAACCAUAAUUACUAUCUUGAUGACACUUAACUGCUUUUUUUCCCCUAAGUACUCAUGUUACAAUUUAAGGUAAAGGGUGGGGGUAUUUAGCUGAGGAAGCCUAGACUGUCACUUUUAAUUUUGAUAAUGUUACUUUUUCACAAGAGUUCCUUCAGAUUCACUUACCCUCUCUGAUCUUUCAUUAUCUCACCUGUAGAAAAGUGUUGAGCUUGAUCAUCUGUAAGAUUAUCUCAAAAGUCCUGUUAAGCUGUAACUAGUCUGUGACUCUAUGAUACUCUGAAUGUUAUAAUCCUCUCUAAUGUUGGUAAUUCUUCACCUUUUUGUGUCAUAUACCCCACUGAGAAUGCGGUGAAAGUUUUGAAUCCUCCUCCAUUUAAAAUUGCCACUCUGCACAAACACAUAUAAUGUUUCAUGCAAUACCAUCUGGGGAUCAAGAAUCUUUUGCCCUAAGCACAGGAAAGAAAAAUUUAUGGAAAUGACAUAGAAUUCAGAAAGUAUUCCCCACCUAACAGGUGGGAGACUUUAUGUGGCUUAUUUUACUCUAAUAUUAUGCAACCAAGAAAGUAGAAAAUUGGAAGAUAUUCUGAAAAGCAUGUAUAAAACACAUUGCAAGGUUACAUAAAAUAGUGACAAAAAUGAGUUCAAUAUAUCUGGAUCUGAUCUGAUUAUUUAGUUUAGGAGAAUCGCUGUUGUCAAAGAUGGUGACUCUGGAAAUGCUAAACUCAGGCUUCUAGAAUGAGAAGGGGAAAAUGGGCAAGGUCACGAUGGUCUAGCUGCUUUUUAAAAAUAUGUAUUAAGGGAUUGAAUAUGUUUCCUAGCUUCACUGUAUAUUAUUAGAAAAUCUAUCUGUGAAAUUGGUUGUUCGAGAUUUCGUUUUCUGUGCGUAAGUGGCUGUUCAGAUGCUUACAUGCUGUCUUAAUACCGAAGAUGCCAUCCUUUUUUCCAGGGCCCUCUUCUUACAUGGGAAGAUAGUGGAUCCUACUUUAAAAUGCGAUUAUAGUGGGGAAAUAAUAUAAUGUUGAAUGUGAGCCAUUGAACACAAAUUGCAUUUUAUGGCUAUAGUUAAAUGGCUCAGGAUUGUUCUGCUGAGUUAAGGGAGGUGGGAGGAAGUAGUUUUAGGAAAAAAAUAUGAAGCAUCUUACUUUUAAAAAAAUGCAGAUUGUGUUUGCUUUGUGAUUUUGAUGUUUAAAGGAGUGUCAUGAGUAUGCUUCAGCUUUGGAAGUGUCCAGGUUGAGAUGAGAGAGAGGAAUGUUAGACAGCCCUUUUCCUGAGGGAUUCUGAAGUCAAAACUACUUGGUGGAUUCUUCUGAGAGAGGCCUAUGCCGUGGAAUCCCAAGUUGGAUUAAAUUAUGGUGAAAAAAGGACAAUAAUCCCACAGUGGGAUAUCUUCCAUUGUCCGUGCAAAACCCUUCUAUAUUAACAUUCUUGCAAUACUGCAGGACUGGAUAAAGACAAGGUAUUCGUAUAUCUGGAUUCACCUAAAUAUGUGUUUGUUCAGUGACCCCAUUGGCUCCUCGUCAGCCCUGAGUGCUAUUCAUAUGACAAAUACUGUGUGGGUGCUUCUGUGUUUAUAAACUCAUUUAAUCCCCUUAACACGCCUAUGAGAUAGUUACCUUACUAUUAUUAUCCCUCAUUUUUAAACAGAUAAGGAGACUAUCUUAAAAUUUUUAACACAAUUUGCUUAAGUUGACACAAGUAAAUGGGAAAACAGAGCUUUGAACUCAGGAUGUCGAGCUGCAGAACCUGCUUUCUUAUCCAGAGGGGUUGAAGAAGGAUCACAUUAAUGGUUGCUUUUAUUUUUUGUUCAGUUGGGGGAAUUUUGAAUUGCUAGACUAUUUAGGAAAACAUCUUUAUUGGGAUUAUUAGUAAGUGUGAUCCAGGCAGAAAGUCAUGAAGCUAAUAUGAAAUAAUGAAAUCAGUGCAUAGUUUAUUUAUUUUAUUUUUGUUUUUGAGAUGGAGUCUCGCUCUGUUGCCCAGGCUGGAGUGCAGUGGCGUGUCUCGGCUCACUGCAACAUCUGCCUCCCGAGUUCAAGCGAUUCUCCUGCCUCAGCUUCCUGAGUAGUUAGAGGCACGUGCCACCAUGCCCGGCUAAUUUUUGUAUUUUUAAUAGAGAUGGGGUUUCACCAUGUUGGCCAGAGUGGUGUCGAAUUCCAGACCGCAAGUGAUUCUCCCACCUCUGCUUCCCAAAGUGCUGGGAUUACAGGCAUGAGCCACCGUGCCCGGCCCAUAGUUUAUUCCUUGAAUUGAAUGGUUACUUAUUGAAUGCUUAUGAUAUCCCAGGCCCUAGGGACAGAAAGAUGAUUAAAGGCUAGGUCUCAAUCCCUGAGGAGCUCUCUGUCUGGGAGAAGCAGAUAUACAAAUCAACAGGUACACAGAGUCACAUAUACAGAUGCCAUGAGGGCACUGGGGAUGAACACGUGUUCUUUGUUUCACUUAUAUUUCGAGAAUGCAUAUAUAUUUUUGAUAAGUAAAAUAGACACAUGCUAUAUAGUUAUACACUGAAAGUGUGUAUGUGUACAUCAUAGUUUCAUUAAUUUUUCUUGCCAGACAACCAGAUGAUUCUUUAUUAAUCUUUGAAGUUUAAUAACCUUACUAAGAUAUAGCUCUUCCCCCUGCCCCCCAGAGAUACAGCAUGCCUUUUUAGUCUGUAGACUACAGAGGACAAAGAUCAUGUUAUUCAUAAGGGGAAAUCAAGAAUUCAAGUGCUUUGGCAGUUUCAAGUGCUUAAGGAAAAAAAUGCUGAAAUUUUGAGGUGUCUCUAGAGGGUAAAGAGGAAUAAGGAGAGGGACCACUAUCAUGUGGACAGAGUAGACAGUUUUAAAUGUGAUGAAUUUUUUUGGAUUUAGGGAUUGCUCCCCAUGCCAAAAAACCCCUACGGGCACACCUCCUAGCCCAGCUAAUUUAAAACAAACAAACAAACCAACAAAAGAAUUUUUUUUUUUUUUUUUUGUUAGAGAUGGUAUCUCACUUUGUUGCCCAGACUGGUCUUGAACUACUGGCUUCAAGCAGUCCUCCUGCUUUUAUCUCCCGAAGUUUUGGGAUUACAAGGAUGAGCCACUGCACCUGUCCAGAAUCCUUUUUCUCAUGGAAUAUUAAACUAAGAUAUUAUUUCUCUGAGCAGUCAUCUUUUAAAACUCAAGUGGAUCUGGGAGAGGCUACUAAAUGAUGAUGAGAUGAUGAUGGUAACAUUAUGAUGUUUUAAAAUAGUACAUAGCUGCACUGUGUCUCAGGCACAGAUCUACAGUGGCUUUCCAAGUACAAGUAUUAUCUCACUUAAAAACAGCUGUCCUAUGAGUGUCCUCAUUUUGCAGAUGAAGAGAUUUUGGCUUAAUAGAUUUACAUAACUUUUUCAUGGUUACAUGACUAGUAAAUGGCAGAGCCAGGAUUCAAACCCUGAUAGUAUGACUCUUACCCCCACUGCAUAUAAAGUUGUCAUUAGAUACUUGCCACCUGGAAUCAUGAAUUGACUCCUUUCCUGUAUCCUCUAUGACAGCAAACUGAGAGAAGGUCCCUGCUUAGUUGGAAUUCUGAUGGAGGUUGAGGGAAAAGAAGAAGGAGAAAGGUUAUCAGUCCUUGGAUGUUGGGGGCGUGGGGGUGGUCAGAGUUUAGGAAGGAGUACAGUAGAAGAAAAGUAAGAUGGGAAGGCAUUGGCCUACUCACCUGCUUUCCAGUUUGGGCUAGAAGCAGUCUCAGGUAUGAGAAAAGAACAUGAAAGGGCUACAGAAAAGAACUGAGAAGGAACAGUGUGCAGGUGAGAAUUCAGUUUUGACUCUCCACGUCAGCACGAGUUUGGCCAAUGAUGAAAUGGCGUAAUGAGUGAAAAUCCCUUACUGGCAAAAUCACCAGAAAGUAAAUUCUGUUUUUAGGGGUGCUGUUGUGCUGCUUAGUUCCGUGUAAUCAGGCUACUCUCUUGGGACAGCCAUUGUAAACACUGCCUUCCUGAUAAGGAUAUAGCAAGUUGUAUAGAGUCAAAGCCAAUUUGUUUAACAGAGCCAUUCAGAAGACCCUGUCCAUUUUUUGUUCUUUUAAUGAAGAAAGUAACGUUUUGAAUGUAGUGUUUAUGUAUAGUGACUAUAUUGGAAUAUAAUGUGUAAUGCUUUCAAUAAACCCAGAAACUUUUCCAAAAUAUUGUCUUGGUUCAUAGGAUGUGAUAUGGAAGGAUAGACACCGUCUUAAUAUUUUCCCCCAACAGAAUGUCAAUUCUUAGAGUAGGGGUGGGGCAGGAAAGUGGGCUAUAAAAUCACUGGCUAUAAAAUCAACUUUUCCCCUUUGAAUCUCAGAAUUCAGUGUCUUCUAGGGCAGAUCUCUACUCAUCAUCUCUACCUGAUAUGACCGCACACGUGAGUGCCUGGCACCUGCUCUUUCUCUUGCUCUGAUGACCACUUCCUUUCUGCCCAUCUGUUUUGACCUCGCACCAUUCUGGAGCUUUUAGGAAAGGCAUUUGUAACAAAGGCAGGACCCAGGUCUCCUGGUUUUCAUCUCCGUAUUGUUUUCACUAUAUUAUAAAACCUUCUUUACUUAAAAAAAAAAAAAAGUUUAAAUGUAGCCUAGCAUGCUUAAUGUCCUAUCAGGUUGAUUUAAAAGGGGCCUUUUAUCUGGACAACAGAAAGUUCUGUGUAACAAAAGUAUUUCCAAGGCUUAGGAAAUGCUCUUAUUUCAAGCAAUAUUUGAUACAACAACAUUCUAAGCAAAUAAACAGAUACAUAUCACCUUUUGUAUUUCUGUUUAUCAUUAUUUGACCCAUAACACCCAGUUUUACAGCUUGAUGGCAAAAAAACAAGAUGGCAAAUUCACAACCCUGCAGCAAAAUUAUCAUGUGUUCAGCCUAUUGAUGAUAAGUGAGAGGGCAAACAAACCGAUAAAUUAAGAAUUUAGUAUUAACAAUAAAUCUACUGGGGCUUCAGCCUUCCCUAAUUAAGAAGUCUUAGAGGGAGAUUAGCAUUCUCUGUUGAUGUUUACCUUUGAAAUUUUGAACAAAGCAUUGUAAGCAGAAGAUGCCCUAAGGAGCAUUUUUGGAAAAAUCCCAACAAGUGCAUAGAGCGACACAGAUGAGAUGAUUCAAUUAGCUUGGAUAACACUAUUUCUUCUAAAGUAUCUGAAACAGACUCAUGAAACUCAUAAAAAGCCUUGUAUUUUCUACCAUAUGUGAGAGUUUAAGGGUGCUUAAGAGCCUGCUUUGAAAGGUUUGCUGAAUCUCUCGGUAAAAAUUAUUGCCGGAUUAUAUGGAAAAGAGUCAAUCUAUAGUAUUCUCCAAUUGUCAGUGUCAUCAUGGAAUUUAGAACUGGAAAGAGACUUUAGAACUCUUCAUAUCUGACUCUUUACAAAACAGUGAACUGAUGCGUUGGCUGUUGACUCAGUGAAGUUCCCACGGCUGGCUUUGGCAACAGACCUAGGGCUAGACUAUGUUGCCUGGAAGAUAAAGAAGCAUUCACUGCUCUUCCCAUCCCACUGUAUUGCCUGGCUAGUGUUUGAUCAGCUUUUCAAUGUGCGGUCAAGUUGUUGAUUGAGCUAGUAACUUAUAAGUGAAUUAUCUUUAUGAUUGUGUUCAUUUCUAACCAUGUCCCUGUGCAGUUUACGAACAAUACUAAUCAUAAGCAAAUACUUUCACCUGGGCCCAAUGAUUUUUACCUGUACUGACCAAGUGAACAACUUAGGCUGGCUUAUGCCAGUGAAGUGGUGCUUCUCCCUCCUGACAUGAGACUUCACUGAAGUGACUUGCCAAGAAGAAAUGAGAAGAUGGCACGUGGAGAGUCAUGUGGAUGCUCUUCUCUGCCUCAAGCUCAGCUCUCACGUGCUUGAUCUGUUCUGUCUGUGUCCUUUAAUAUAAAUGUUUAAAUGUUUAAAUGUCAUUGGGUACUUGGUUAUAGGAGGAGGCAGAGCUCUGAGUGGAAUCCAUGAUGGUCCUGAGACCAGAGAUAUGUAUUUUUUUCUUUUCAUGUAUGUAUGUCUUAUAUCCCCAAUUGAGAAUUCUAUCACUGUGAGUGAUACAGCUUCAGAAUCCUGAAGGCUAAGCUAUUAGGUUUGAACAAUAUGAAAUUGCUGGUUUGCAACUAUAUUAUAUCUACAAAAGGGCAAGUUCAUAUAGCUUAACCUAAAAAGUAAAAAUCAAAUGACAUCAGGUAUGUGCAAAAAUGUCAUAAAUGGCUGGUGAAUAUAUAAGAAGUUCAACAUUACUAAGAGCCAAAAAUUGAAAAUUAAAAUAAGAAACCUUUUUUUUACUUCAUCAAAUAGUAAACCAACAAUUAGUCCUAUACUUUCCUGGUUUGAGCAUUGAUUAAUACAACCAGUAAGUAUGCAAAUAUUUAAACUCAGUGUUUUUCACUGAUAGAUAUUUAUAUCAAGGUGCUAGAUUGAUAUGCAUAUAAAUAUUUUUGCACAAAUAUGUUCACAAUUUGUUUAUAACAGCAGAAAAUGGAAAACAAACUAAAUAGCAAUAGGGAACGUAAGUUAAUCAUGCUGUAUCCAUAUUACGUAGUGUUAUAUAAUUAAAAUUACAUAAUUUAUUAAAAUGAUAUUUACCAAGUGUUUUUAAUGACACUGGAAAACAUGUAGAAUAUAAGAAGUGAAUAAUUUCCGAAUAGUAUGUACAAUAUGAUAAUUGUGUAAAAAGCUGUAAACAUAGAAAAGAACAAGAAAAUACACCAAGACAUUGAUAAUGUUUUGACUUUUAAGAAAUAUUUUUUCUUUGCUGUUUUAAUUUUGUUAUGCAAUUAACAUCUAUUUUUAUAUCAUGUAUAUAUUAAUAAUUACAUAUUUACAAGUGUUGUAUACCGAUUUAUAAAGUCAAUAUGCUCCCUGGCCAAAAGGUUAGCAUGUUCACAUGAAAACAUGCACAUAAUGCGUUUCUAACAAGUUCCCAAAUAGUGUUGAUGCUAUAAGUCUGGGGACCACACUUUGAGAAUUACUAAUGUAGAGAAUCACCAUAUGGGGAUAUAUAUCCCAGUGAGUAAAACAAGUUCCUGGUGUCAACAUGUAUCCAUUGCUACUCCCCCCUGCCACAGCCUCUGCUUCCAGGGUCAGAAACUCUUACCAAUGGUCGUUGGAUUUCUUUAAAACAGGGCUGAGUACCAAGUAUAAAUGCUGUCUCGAAGUCACCAGGCUGUAACAAAUUAAAAUUCCUGUCUGUAUCCCUUUCACCUAGCACAGUCCAUGACUUAGGAAAAAAAUGUUCAGUUGUGUUGGUUGGUUUAUGGAAUGGAUUAAGUGGUAAAGAGUACAGUUUUGAAAUCAUAAAAAAUGAAUUGGAAUCUUGGCUCCAUAAACUUACCCUGAUGUGAUGUUGGCCAGAUUAUGUAACCUCUUGCUCCCCGAGUUUGCUCAUCUGUAAAAUAACUUCAUGAGGUUGUUGGAAGAAGUAAAUGAGUUAAUACACAAGUUUUUGAAUAGCACUUAGUAAAUGUUAGCAGCUGUUGUUACUGUCAUAUAGGAUUGCUUGCAUUUUUAAUCUUUUUCAAAAAAGAAGAGUUAUUUGAACACCUAGCCAAAAAGGAAAAAAAAAAAAGAUUGCAACAGCAAACACUUUCAAGAGGGGGAAAUUAUAGUUUUUGUUUUGUUUUGUUUUUGUUUUUUUAAUUUACUAGGGAAACUUGCGGAAAGGACUACAAAGAAAAUAGAAUUCUCUGAAAGUAAUAUGGCAGGUUUUACUGGACAUUUCUGCUUUUAGUGGCUCUAACAGUCCCAGGAUUUACCAACUAGGAGACCUCUCAAAAGCAUAUGAAAGUGUCUUAGUCUUGUUUUGAUUUUUGUAGCCAUAAAAAAUAAACCACAAAGAAGCAUGAAAGUUUUCUCUUUGGCCUCAGUAGAAUUCUUUAACCUUGUGACUUUGUCCUUGUCUCUUUGUGAAUGGUGACAAUACUCACUCCCUUAUAGGUUAGUUGUGAAGAUGAGGUGAGGAAUUAGCAAGGUGCCAGGCACACAGCUGAUUCAGUUUCAAUGUUAAUUCAUUUUAUUUUUCCUCCCCACUUUGCCUUCUGCUCAUCCUGCAGCCCACAUUCCCGUCAUUUUCAAACGUACAGAAGUGAAAACUGUGUUGUCACUAGGAUUGGCAAACUUUUUCAAGAAGUGCUGUAAAAGUUCACAGUCUAAUAAUUUUUCUGAUACUCCCACCAUUAAAAAAACCUAUGCUCUAAGAGUUAAUCCAAAUCGUCAAAAUAUGAAGUCCUCCUUUCUCUUCCAGGACGAGAAGGCUUCAUGAAUAUUUUAUGAUGGCGUCUCUGUUGAGGGAUGAAUCCAUUCCCCUCCUAGGAGAGUUCCAGCAUGCUGUGGGCUGCCAGGACUUAGCCCAGGAGUGUGGUGUUUUACUGAGGCAAAGAGCUGGAUCUUUGGCUCCAGACAGAAACGAGUUUAAAACAUGCCUCUUCAGGUAAGUUGCUAAUUUUCUGAGCCUCAGAGUCCUUAUUUAUAAAAUGGGGUGCUCAAUGAUGACAGCCAUCUAGGGCUAGACAGAAGGUGAAAUGACGUAACAUAUGUAAAGCAUCUAAUUCAUAGUAGGCUCCAAUUAAACAGUGGCCUUUUAUAUACACACACACACAUACACACACACCCCUUAUAUAUGUGAUGUUUUAUAUGUACCAUGUACACACCACUGAGUUCCUUUUGUCAUAUUCUCACACUCUUAUUUCAAGAGACAAAAUAUACCAACAAAUGAGACAGAAGCUACUAAAAGUGCUUUUCAAGCUUUCUUAGCAGUGAAAAGUCUUUUCAACUGCAAUCUUACAUGAAAACAUAUGAAACUUAUGUGAAACAGAGAAAGGGGUAACUGCUGUCCAUGAAAUACAAGGUCCUUUUGUGUUCUAAGUCAGACCCUGCAAAAUCAGAUAGUUCUGAGGUAUAUAAUUUAAAAGCUACUGAACCAUUAUUUUGAAUUCACUCACAUUAAUGAGUGCCCACUACAUGGUAGGAACUGUGCUAGGACUAGACACAAAGACAAGGCAUAGUCCUUCCCGUGAAGGAGUUCAUAGUCUGGUAGACAACCUCUUUGAACUCUUAGAUUCAGCAAUUCUAGAUUCGGUUAAAGUAGUUUUAGGGCAAUAUGCAUGGCAUAAAUGGAAUGUGUAAGUACCUAGGGGAUAGAAAGUUGUGCUUAUCCAUGAACUCAUCUGAGAAGGCUUUCUUUGGUGAUGAUUUGAACAGUUUGAGCCUUGAUUGUCAGGAGCGGAAAUGAAUCCUCGUGUAAACAAAAACCUCUGCAAGACUAUCAAGGACUAAGACAGAAGACUAAGAAACCCUGGUAGGAAACAACAAACAUAUUGCUUAUCACAUUUAUCCUCUUAAAUGGGAAAGACGGAACUAGGAAGCUGGAAAUGAGGUAGAAGGAAAGAGAAAGGACCAGUUGUUUGAUGAUUUGAAAUAAACAUUUUUUAUUAUGAGGAAUAUAGAUUUUUUUAAUUAAGAAAAAGUGCAAUUCAGAAAGAAUGCUAUUGUCCAUCUUGAAGUCUUUAUUGUCUCCCCCACAACUCUUCCCCAGUGUCAACUGCGAAUGGGCAAUCAGGCUGCUGUCCAGGAGAGAGAGGCCCUAGGGUAUGUAAAAUACUGCAGAGAAAUCUACUGUGUCUACAACAGCAACUGGUUCUCUAGGAACCUAAAAAUAGUCAAAACUUCUUUUCAAGUUCAAACUGUCACCAAGAUUAGUUAAUGAACCUUAAUUGGCAAAAUGAAAAUGCUGCGUUAUUUUUUGAGAAGGAUUCUUAGUUAUCAUAUGAAAUUUGUAUCUGGUUCAUAGUAAAGUGUUAUUUAUUAGCCACACUUUAAUGAAUUCCCUAAAAUUUGUUGCUGAAUUUAGGAGAGAUGUUCAGUUCAAUUCAACACUCUUUGAGAUUGACUAUCAUGUAUCAGGCACUGUAUUAAGUGCAAGAGUAAAAAGGCAUGGCCCUUCUUCUCAGAGAGCCCAUGGUCUAGUGAAGGAGUCAGAUGAGUAAGUAGAUAAUUAUGAAAUAUUGUGGUAAGUGCUAUGGAAGAAAUCUAAAGAACAGGUUAUAGAAAAGAGGAUGUCACAUCAGAGGCCACGACACUUAAACUGAGUCUUUCAGAAUGAAUGAGAAAUUAGGCAGAUGAAGACAGAGGGAAGGAUGUCCUAUGUGCCGUUAACGUGCAAAUCACAUACGCUUGGAUGUCUGAUACUUGGGCCGGUUAACUUCUCUGAACAUGACUUUCCAUAUCUUCAUUGAGUGUUUAUCACAAAACAUUGUGAGAAUUGCACGUGCAAAUGCAGGUAAAGAGGCUACUCAAUCCUGGUGCAUAGUCAUUUACAAAUAAGUUGGUUUCCACCAUGGCACACGUAUGCCUGUGUAACAAACCCACACAUUCUGUACUUGUAUCCGGAACUUAAAGUAAAAUAAAAAAUAAAAAUACAUAGAUUGUUUUUUUUUUAAGUGUUGAAAGCUGGGCUUUCAUUGCCAAAGAAGGCAAAUGUUGGUGUUUCAUAGCAGCUGAAUUUGCCAACCACCUACCCAGUGGUUAGGCUACUAAAGUGGAAAGUUUCAUUCCCAAUUAAUGCACCAUUUUUCUCAGAGACUUUGAACAGACAUGUUUUUGAUCCAUCAAAUCUUUCUGUCCUGGGGUUGUGUUUGGUUUUUAUUCCAAUUCUAAGGUCUGUCUGAACACGCUGUGCCUUGAGCCAUGUAGCACACAGAAGGACAAAUGAUUUCUUCUUAUUAUUCUUUUUAUUAACAAUUGAAGGGAAUAGUUAACAUUUAAGAAAAAAAAAGACUGACUUGAGAGAAACUUUUGGUUAUUUUCUAGUGAGGGAAAAAAAGCUCUAAAUGCAGUAUGUCAAUCUUGUUUCCUAGAUAACAAAGCAAAUCUAAAACAGUUUUGAACUUUUUUCCUUAUUCCCUUUAUCAUGAAUGUUUAAUAUCCAAAGGAGCCAAUUUUUGUUGAGAAUUAGCUUCCAGGUUUGGAGGCUAUUAGCAAUCACCACAGGGAGCCUCACACUCCAGUUCUAUUUCCCAUCCUUUUUCCUGAAUCAGAAUCAUUUUCUGUGUAGUUAUAGCAAGUGCCUCGGUUUUGCUAGCCUCAUCUGCUGUUUUUAAAUGUCAGCCUCUGCCAAGCUGAAACAUCAUGAAAGUAAUCAAAUUAUGUAUUAGGAAAGAGUAGAUCAUUGCUUCAAUAAACUUGCCAAAAUCAACAUGUGUAGCCAUCUAUACAUGUGGAAUGUCACUUUGAUCCCCCAUAGCUAUUUCAGUAAUGUCAUAAAUGUUCUCAUAAUCAUUUUAUAAUCAUAAUAUUAGUUAACUAUUACAUUUUAUCACUUAACUCGUGCUAAGCAUUUAGCUUGUAUUACCCACUUUACCUGUACAAUAGUUCUCUCAGGUAGAUGCUAGAGUGUUAUCCAGGUUAUUGUGAGGAAGCUAAGGCACAAGAAAUUAAGCAACUUGCCCAUUAGCCUACAGCUAACAGUCCUGGAUUCAUACCCAGGCCUGUGUGAUUCCAGAGCCCAUGCUCUUAAAUGCUAGGCUACACCUCCUUCUUUUUAUCCUUCUGUGAUCGUUAAAAAAGACAUGACAGUUGUUGCUGUAAACCAUAAUUUGAUGUCUUAUGAUAACACUUAACUAGCUUAUUGGUGGUUUUGUUUGUAAACAUUGAAAGUAAGCUUUAGCCAAUGCACACUUAAUCAGAUUUGUAUUCAGCAAGUGUGCUUUUGCUAAUAGUAAGCCAGACAUUGUAUCAGGCAUCAGGGUAAACAUACAUAUACAUAUGUAUAUGUCCCGACCUUGAGGAGGUCAUAUCUAGCUGGGGAAACUUACAAAUUGUACAUAAUCCAUUAUCCACAAUUCCAAAUUCCAAAAUGCUCUGAGAAAUGAAAUUUUUAAAAUAUGUAGACUCAUUUAGCCUAAUUCCUGAAUUCAUAUGAGGCCACAUUAUAUAUAGCCUUUGUUUGUACCUCUUAAUAUAAUUUUUCAUACAUGUGUUUGAUUAUGAGGUGCUACCCUAAGCUCUCCUGGCAUUGUUGCAUAAUACAUAGUAAAUGCCCUGAAAACCUUUCUAAAAUCUGAACUUUUUGAAUUCUGAAAUAUAUCUGGUCCUAAGAGUUUAGCAGAAGGGAUUGUGGCCAUACAUGAAUGGACAUGUUGUAGCCCAGCAAAAGGAAUGAUUUACUUCCCAUGAUUGAGUUAAAGAUUCACAGAAGAGGCUGCAGGCAGUGAAACUGGAAUUUACCAAAGUUGUUUUGGCAGCCUAGGCAGAACUGAAGUUACAGCCAAAGAUAUAGACUUAUAGAGAAUCUGGGGAGGGUAUACAUGGAAGACAGGACUGGAAAGGCAAGUUGGCACCAGAUUAUGGAAGGCCUCCCAUGUCACAGGAGAAUGCAUUCUUUUUCUAUCAACUGACAGGCUCUUUUCUGAUUUCCUUCAGCCUCAUUUGCUGUUGUACCUUGCUUUGUUGCAGUGUGUCAUGGAUCCAUUUGGAGAAGCUGAUGAGUCAUCUUGUGAAAGAAAAAAUGAAUUGAAGGACAUUGCUUACUUUCUGUGUUGAUUCAGGCCUCAUUUCAUCUUAACCCCCUAGUUAGAGGACAUCAGUAAUGAUUCAGUCUCUGCAACUCAUUCCUAAAUAAAAUUAAUUGGAAAGUA